rnacentral:rRNA from 1 species
CCUACGGGAGGCUGCAGUGGGGAAUAUUGCACAAUGGGCGAAAGCCUGAUGCAGCAACGCCGCGUGAAGGAAGAAGGGUUUCGGCUCGUAAACUUCUAUCAACAGGGACGAAAGAAAUGACGGGACCGGAAUAAGAAGCACCGGCUAACUACGUGCCAGCAGCCGCGGUAAGACGUAGGGGGCAAGCGUUAUACGGAAUUACUGGGUGUAAAGGGUGAGUAGGCGGCAUGGUAAGCCAGAUGUGAAAGCCUUGGGCUUAACCCGAGGAUUGCAUUUGGAACUAUCAAGCUAGAGUACAGGAGAGGAAAGCGGAAUUCCUAGUGUAGCGGUGAAAUGCGUAGAUAUUAGGAAGAACACCAGUGGCGAAGGCGGCUUUCUGGACUGAAACUGACGCUGAGGCACGAAAGCGUGGGGAGCGAACAGGAUUAGAUACCCUGGUAGUC